CGUUCAUUAACGCCUCCUCGUUUAACCCUUCUCCACCACCCGCAGACGCCAAUCCAAGAUUCUCCCAAGACCUAGUUUGCCUCUCCGUGCCUUCGCUCUCUGUUUUUCUCUAUUUCAGCCCAUAAUUUUCUGUUGAAACCCGGCUUAACCGAAGGGAUGCGUAUGCAUGCAUGCUAGAUGGCAUGGGUAUUGAUCGUUUGUUCUCUGGUUUUGGUCUGGGUUGCGUGUCUAUGCAAAAUUCUCCAUGGAUCAAGCUCACCUCUCAGGAACUCAUUCUUGAAUACUGGUGGAGCUUUUCACAAGAGAAAUGUCUUGCUGGUUAUUGCCCACCCAGAUGAUGAGUCUAUGUUCUUUUCUCCAACAAUUAGCUAUCUAACUUCAACAGGGCAUAAUCUACACGUAUUGUGCUUGUCAACUGGUGACGCAGAUGGCAAGGGGAAUAUCAGAAAAGAAGAGCUCUAUCAGGCUUGUGCAAUUCUCAAGGUGACUGCUAUGCAGCUCAAAAGCACACUUUCAAAUUCAUUUAGAAUGCCAAAUAAAUUCCAGUUCGAGUCAAGAAUGCAGCAUUAGCAUAAAGGUUCUAGAACCCAAUCUUCUGGAACAUGCAUGCCAAGCUAAUAUUGAAGUUAUUUUGCUGCUGCCGACUUUCUUUGGUUCCACUUCAACAAGUGAAGAUUCUAGACCAUCCAGAUUUGCAGGAUGGUUUUGGCAGGGUUUGGAACCAUACUUUGCUGGCUAACAUUAUUGAAGAGGAGAUUAUGAGUUAUGGCAUUGACUCAAUUAUUACAUUCGACUACUAUGGUGUUUCGGGUCAUUGUAAUCAUCAUGAUGUGCAUUAUGGGGUAUGCAAGGUCUUGACUGAUGCCUCACAAGGAAAUAUUGAGGCCUGGGAACUUACAAAUUCACGACAACAGAGUGCAGUUCUUGGGCUUAUUACAUUCCUGUUUGCAAGAACAAAAAUUAAACUCACAUAAACGGAAAACAAUUCAAAAAUGUCAGUACCAAUGUAUUACGCAAGUAUAGUGGACCACUUGAUAUUUGGUUGUCCGUUUUACAUGCCAUGCAACAAUCAGGUGAAGUCAUGCAUUGCUUGCUAAAUCAGCAUCCCCAGAAGAGCUUUCUCGCAAUGGCACAACACUCAAGCCAAUGGGUUUGGUUCCGCAAACUUUUUGUAGCAUUUUCCAGUUAUACAUAUGUGAACACGCUCAGAAAGAUUUAAGUGCAUGUGAAUUAAUGAUACUGGAGAAAUUAUGGGUUCUGAGGUUUGUCUUGCAUACUUGAAUCAAAGUUAAUAUUCUGUAUUCCUCCACGGACAUAUUGCCAGCUUGAUACAUGGGUUUUGAAUGUUCAUGUGGGCGAUUGAAUAGAAAAUUCAGUCAGGACCGGAGAGUCGGAGACCACAGUGCCAGCAACUGUUGUUUAUCAGAUUACAACUGGAAGAUCCGAUCCGUUUUGAAAUUCACUUGCACAAACAGAAAGAAAAACAAGAAUUGCACAAAUAAAUGUACUUGGUUGAGUUUCCUUGAGACUGCUUGUAUCUGUGGAUCACUAAUGGCAUUGGUGUUGGCAUGUAUUUGAGUUUGGCUUUGAUUUCAUUCGAGAGAUAGUAAAAAUGGCCAUCUACUUGAAUAA